rnacentral:rRNA from 1 species
CCUACGGGAGGCAGCAGUGAGGAAUAUUGGUCAAUGGGCGCGAGCCUGAACCAGCCAAGUAGCGUGAAGGAUGACUGCCCUCCGGGUUUUAACCUUCUUUUAUAAAGAAAUAAAGUGAGGCAUGUGUGCCUUUUUGUCUGUACUUUAUGAUUAAGGAUCGGCUAACUCCGUGCCAGCAGCAGCGGUAAUACGGAGGAUCCGAGCGUUAUCCGGAUUUAUUGGGGGUAAAGGGCGCGUAGGUGGGUUGUUAAGUCAGUUGUGAAAGCCUAUGGCUUAACCGUAAAAUUGCAAUUGAUACUGGCAGUCUAGAGUAUGGGAGAGGUAGGCGGAAUUCUUGGUGUAGGGGUAAAAUGCGUAGAGAUCAAGAAGAAUACUCAUUGCGAAGGCAGCUUGCUAGA